rnacentral:rRNA from 1 species
UCCAGACUCCUACGGGAGGCAGCAGUGAGGAAUAUUGGUCAAUGGGCGCGAGCCUGAACCAGCCAAGUCGCGUGAGGGAUGACGGUCCUACGGAUUGUAAACCUCUUUUGUCGGGGAGCAACGAGGCCACGUGUGGCCGAAGUGAGAGUACCCGAAGAAAAAGCAUCGGCUAACUCCGUGCCGGCAGCCGCGGUAAUACGGAGGAUGCGAGCGUUAUCCGGAUUUAUUGGGUUUAAAGGGUGCGUAGGCGGAACAUUAAGUCAGCGGUAAAAUCGAGGGGCUCAACCCCUUUAAGCCGUUGAAACUGGUGAUCUUGAGUGGGCGAGAAGUAUGCGGAAUGCGUGGUGUAGCGGUGAAAUGCAUAGAUAUCACGCAGAACUCCGAUUGCGAAGGCAGCAUACCGGCGCCCGACUGACGCUGAGGCACGAAAGCGUGGGGAUCGAACAGGAUUAGAUACCCGCGUA